GCGAGGUUAGUACAGGGGUAGUACAUCUCCUUCCCAAGGAGACGACGCGAGUUCGAGUCUCGUACCUCGCU
rnacentral:tRNA from 1 species